ACACACACACACAUAUGAACAUGUAAACAAUCUCCUCGUCCGACUCCUGGAGCUGAGUGCUGCCCAUCCAUUACAAGGAAAGGAUUUCGUGGAUGGCUGAGGCUGCAGUAUUUAUGAGUUCUUGCAGAGGGGCGGCAGUGCAGCUGGAGUAACGACAUUUCCAGACGGGAUCUCUGAGCUCACCACCCCCCCGAAUCAUUCCUUGC